ACCCACGGGGAGAUGUGAGCCCUUCAAAUGAGGGCUUUUACCAAGAGAUUGGUCAUCGGGUAAUCUGGAAGCCACCUCAUACAAUUACAUCUCCCCAGCUAAUUGUUUGGCCUGUAAAAAACAAAAGCAAAACAAAAAGUGGUGCCUAUGAAAGUGUUCCCUUGUUUCAUAAGCUUAAGGACAGAGACUACUAUGAAGCUGCUUGUGGUGAGCUGCUAAAAAAACGAAUGGUGGUGAAGAGAAAAGUUAAAUUGGACAGGUCAAAGAGGAAGAUGCUUCGUAAACACAAGGAUGUGAAACCUGAAGCAGAGACUGUAGAAGUAUGGACAAUACCAAAACGCAGCUUACCCAGAGGGUACGGAUUGAGGAAAUCCAGCUACAGAAAAUAAUAUAUUCCUGCUAGGGACAACUGAUGACAAGUACAUGGAACCUGACUAUUUUUACUUUGACUUGGGUUAGAGCUGUACAUUCAUAACAGGGGAAAACAGUCUUAUAUAAUGCUGCAUAAUCUACCGAACAAAA